rnacentral:rRNA from 1 species
GACGAACGCUGGCGGCGUGCUUAACACAUGCAAGUCGAACGGAAAGGCCCUGCUUGCAGGGUACUCGAGUGGCGAACGGGUGAGUAACACGUGGGUGAUCUGCCCUGCACUUCGGGUUAAGCCUGGGAAACUGGGUCUAAUACCGGAUAGGAGCCAUUUUUAGUGUGAUGGUUGGAAAGUUUUUUCGGUGUAGGAUGAGCUCGCGGCCUAUCAGCUUGUUGGUGGGGUAAUGGCCUACCAAGGCGGCGACGGGUAGCCGGCCUGAGAGGGUGGACGGCCACCUUGGGACUGAGAGACGGCCCAGACUCCUACGGGAGGCAGCAGUGGGGAAUAUUGCACAAUGGGCGCAAGCCUGAGGCAGCGACGCCGCGUGGGGGAUGACGGCCUUCGGGUUGUAAACUCCUUUCGCUAGGGACGAAGCGUUUUGUGACGGUACCUAGAUAAGAAGCACCGGCUAACUACGUG